rnacentral:lncRNA from 1 species
ACAUGAUGAUUAAAAUUAAUACUGAGUGACAAUCUUGUUGCAUUUGUAAAAUGGAUUGGAAACCUUGGUGGUAUAUUGAUAAUUACGCCUAUUUUUUUUAUAGGAGAAUGGGGUUCGAUUCCCUGCUAGGGUCAAUCCAUUUUAUCAUAAAUAUGAAACAAUUUUGUCAUUUCAGUACAACAGUUAUAAUUAACCUAUACUUUAUUUUAUAUUUUAUCAUCAGAUCAUAUGUUUCAUUGAAAUUAUUUUUAUACAUGCCUUUUAA